rnacentral:rRNA from 1 species
CGCGGCCUAUCAGCUUGUUGGUGGGGUGAUGGCCUACCAAGGCGACGACGGGUAGCCGGCCUGAGAGGGUGUCCGGCCACACUGGGACUGAGAUACGGCCCAGACUCCUACGGGAGGCAGCAGUGGGGAAUAUUGCACAAUGGGCGCAAGCCUGAUGCAGCGACGCCGCGUGGGGGAUGACGGCCUUCGGGUUGUAAACCCCUUUCAGCACAGACGAAGCGCAAGUGACGGUAUGUGCAGAAGAAGCACCGGCCAACUACGUGCCAGCAGCCGCGGUAAUACGUAGGGUGCGAGCGUUGUCCGGAAUUACUGGGCGUAAAGAGCUCGUAGGUGGUUUGUCGCGUUGUCCGUGAAAACUCACAGCUUAACUGUGGGCGUGCGGGCGAUACGGGCAGACUGGAGUACUGCAGGGGAGACUGGAAUUCCUGGUGUAGCGGUGGAAUGCGCAGAUAUCAGGAGGAACACCGGUGGCGAAGGCGGGUCUCUGGGCAGUAACUGACGCUGAGGAGCGAAAGCGUGGGGAGCGAACAGGAUUAGAUACCCUGGUAGUCCACGCCGUAAACGGUGGGUACUAGGUGUGGGUUUCCUUCCUUGGGAUCCGUGCCGUAGCUAACGCAUUAAGUACCCCGCCUGGGGAGUACGG